rnacentral:rRNA from 1 species
GACGAACGCUGGCGGCGUGCUUAACACAUGCAAGUCGAACGGUGAAGCGCCUUCCUUUUUGGUGGGUGUGGAUGAGUGGCGAACGGGUGAGUAACACGUGAGUAACCUGCCCCCUUCUUCUGGAUAACCGCAUGAAAGUGUGGCUAAUACGGGAUAUUCUGGGUCUGUCGCAUGAUGGGUCUGGGAAAGAUAUUGUUUCGGUGGGGGAUGGGCUCGCGGCCUAUCAGCUUGUUGGUGGGGUGAUGGCCUACCAAGGCGGUGACGGGUAGCCGGCCUGAGAGGGUGGACGGUCACACUGGGACUGAGACACGGCCCAGACUCAUACGGGAGGCAGCAGUGGGGAAUAUUGAACAAUGGGCGAAAGCCUGAUGCAGCGAAGCCGCGUGAGGGAUGGAGGCCUUCGGGUUGUGAACCUCUUUCGCCAGUGAAGCAGGCCUGCCUCGUUUGUGGGUGGGUUGACGGUAGCUGGAUAAGAAGCGCCGGCUAACUACGUG